rnacentral:rRNA from 1 species
CAAUAGCGUAUAUUAAAGUUGUUGCAGUUAAAAGCUCGUAGUUGGAUUUCUGAUCUGAGCGUCCGGUCCGCCGCUGUGCGGUGUGUACUUGGUUCGACUCGGAUCUUCCUUGCAGGGAAUGUGUCUGGCCUUAAUUGGUCGGGUUCGGGAACUGCAUCGUUUACUGUGAAAAAUUAGAGUGUUUAAAGCAGGCAUUUGCUGUGAAUACAUUAGCAUGGAAUAAUAAGAUAGGACUUUGGUUCUAUUUUGUUGGUUGGAGGCCAAGGUAAUGAUUAAUAGGGAUAGUUGGGGGUAUUCAUAUUUAAUUGUCAGAGGUGAAAUUCUUGGAUUUAUGAAAGAUGAACUUAUGCGAAAGCAUUUACCAAGGAUGUUUUCAUUAAUCAAGAACGAAAGUUAGGGGAUCGAAGAUGAUCAGAUACCAU